UACGAAGGGUGCAAGCGUUACUCGGAAUUACUGGGCGUAAAGCGUGCGUAGGCGGUUUGUUAAGUCCGUUGUGAAAGCCCUGGGCUCAACCUGGGAAUUGCAGUGGAUACUGGCGAGCUAGAGUGCGGUAGAGGAUGGUGGAAUUCCCGGUGUAGCGGUGAAAUGCGUAGAGAUCGGGAGGAACAUCAGUGGCGAAAGCGACUUCCUGGACCAAUACUGACGCUCAUGUGCGAAAGCGUGGGGAGCAAACAGG
rnacentral:rRNA from 1 species